rnacentral:rRNA from 1 species
GAUGAACGCUGGCGGCAUGCCUAACACAUGCAAGUCGAGCGAACGGACGAGGAGCUUGCCCCUCUGCCGCUCGCGGCGCACGUGUGAGCAACACGUAGAUACCCUACAUGUUAGACUCGGAUUACUCCGGGAAUCCGGAUCCCAUACCCGAUCAUAUACUGAACUGCCUGGUUCAUUCGUCCUCGCCGCUUUUGCCGUCACUUAUACAUGGAUCCGCGACGCACUAGUUAGUUGGUGAGGUAACGGCUUACCAAGGCAACGAUGCGUAGCCGACCUGAGAGGAUGAUCGGCCACACUGGAACUGAGACACGGUCCAGACGCCUACGGGAGGCAGCAGUAGGGAAUCUUCCGCAAUGGGCGAAAGCCUGACCGAGCAACGCCGCGUGAGUGAUGAAGGUCUUCGGAUCGUAAAGCUCUUUAAAGCGGGAAGAAGAAAGGUGUCAGAAACCAGGCUCGUCUUGACGGUACCUAAUCAGAAAGCCACGGCUAACUUCGUG